GCGACGCGUGAAGACAUUGUGGUGCUGGAAAGUUUAUGGUUAUUUUGCUUUUUUUUACAUUUAUCCUCGCAUCCUGAAUUUGAGACUUGGUAUUCGGAAGACCGGAAGUGAACAAGUGUGUGUGAGAUCUGCCUUGUUGGGACCCACGGGGCAAGGAUGAGGUCUUCCCGACUCAUCUUUAAGGAUUACUAGUGAACUGCACCACGAUAGCUCACAAACGUUCAGAACUACUGUGAAGGUAAGCGUGCUGGCCGGGCGGCGGAAACACUGGAGGAGGGAGAGAGGGAGAGCGGAGGGAGGACAAAAGUGGACUUGGGUGUUGCCUGCGCUACCUGUGAGUAAUGGUCCUCCUACCUGCUAAUAUGGGGUUACCUGACGCGCCUCCCCCAGGAUAUUCCUCGGAGGGGAUUCUGGGGCGCGUGAGUCUGCUCUUUCCACCUCCGUCAGGCGGCGCGCAGGCAGCGGCGGCUCAGGGCGAGGUCAGAGUGUUGUGGAUAGGAUUUCCCCCCACAAAAGUCUCAUCAAGUCAGCCAUGAAAGGGUAACCUGAUCCCUACGUAUUGUUUUGUUUCCUUCCUGUCACAAAAAAAGGCACCAACAACAACAGCAGCACUCCUGUUUUCCCCCCGACUUUUUUUCUUUUUCUUCCUUUUUUUCGGUUUUCCUCAUUCCCCCGCAUUGUCGGAGGGCGGCCGUGCCUCCUGCAGCCAGCCGGAUUAGGUUUUUGUAGCGCAGCCCGGCAAACAUUAGGUAAUUGAAGGGCAGAUCUUUAUCUUAAUUAAUCUUUGCACAGUAAAUAACACCCGCGAGUGUAAUGCCCUCAAGAGAAGGGAGGUAGAUUAAUGUUAUAUAAAAUUCAAUAACAUCACCCAACGUUACCUCGACCUCUACCUCCAAGCUUUGAGACCACACGGGGCUCCGAUACCCUGGGGCGCGUGGCGGGGCUCGGGUACACGGCCCCACGCCCCCCGGCCCCGCCCUCACAGCCCGCCGCCUACCGGGAACUCCACCGGUCUAAUUAUCGAGGUCGACCGGACUGACGAAACUCAUACGGCUUUUGAUUAAGUCGAGUAUUGUUCGCGCUAGAAACAUGUCGGGCCAGAUUAUGUGCGCGGCGACAAGACGGUCCUCGGCGCGGGCGGAGCCUUGGGUUGACUUUCCCGUAGCCCAGGCGGGAGUGUCGACCUUGGGGCAGGGCGGCGCGGGGCAGGGCGGGGCGGGGCUGGCCUGCUGGCUUCUGGAGAGGCCUUUGUGAUUAAUGCUGUUAAUUUUAUAUGAGCUGGUCAUUGUGAAGCUGUUUUAGAUUGAAAAAAAAAAACAUAACAAUUCGUGAUUGGUAAUUAAUUUUCGUAUAUAAUAA